rnacentral:rRNA from 1 species
AGAGAUGCAUUGGGCGUAAAGCGUGCGCAGGCGGUUUUGUAAGACAGAGGUGAAAUCCCCGGGCUCAACCUGGGAACUGCCUUUGUGACUGCAAGGCUGGAGUGCGGCAGAGGGGGAUGGAAUUCCGCGUGUAGCAGUGAAAUGCGUAGAUACGCGGAGGAACACCGAUGGCGAAGGCAAUCCCCUGGGCCUGCACUGACGCUCAUGCACGAAAGCGUGGGGAGCAAACA